rnacentral:tRNA from 1 species
AGCUUAAGAGUUUUGUUAUAAACAUUAGUUUGCAAAACUAGAGAAAUUGAUUUCUAUUCAAUUUAAGCUU